rnacentral:rRNA from 1 species
ACACGACUACAUUAGAUACCCGUGUAGUCCUAGCCGUAAACGAUACUCGCUAGGUGUCGGCCACGGUGCGACCGUUGUCGGUGCCGUAGGGAAGCCGUGAAGCGAGCCACCUGGGAAGUACGGCCGCAAGGCUGAAACUUAAAGGAAUUGCGGGGGAGCACCACAACGGGUGGAGCCUGCGGUUUAAUCGGACUCAACGCCGGGAAUCUCACCGGAUAAGACAGCUGAAUGAUAGUCGGGAUGAAGACUCUACUUGACUAGCUG